rnacentral:rRNA from 1 species
UACUUGUUAGUUGCCAUCAUUCAGUUGGGCACUCUAGCGAGACUGCCGGUAAUAAACCGGAGGAAGGUGGGGAUGACGUCAAAUCAUCAUGCCCCUUAUGACCUGGGCUACACACGUGCUACAAUGGUUGGUACAACGAGUUGCGAGUCGGUGACGGCGAGCUAAUCUCUUAAAGCCAAUCUCAGUUCGGAUUGUAGGCUGCAACUCGCCUACAUGAAGUCGGAAUCGCUAGUAAUCGCGGAUCAGCACGCCGCGGUGAAUACGUUCCCGGGCCUU